rnacentral:rRNA from 1 species
GGAUCCAGACUUUGAUCCUGGCUCAGGACGAACGCUGGCGGCGUGCUUAACACAUGCAAGUCGAACGAGAAUCUACUGAAAGAGUUUUCGGACAAUGGAUGUAGAGGAAAGUGGCGGACGGGUGAGUAACGCGUGAGGAACCUGCCUUGAAGAGGGGGACAACAGUUGGAAACGACUGCUAAUACCGCAUGACGCGUAGAGGUCGCAUGAUCUUUAUGCCAAAGAUUUAUCGCUUCAAGAUGGCCUCGCGUCUGAUUAGCUAGUUGGCGGGGUAACGGCCCACCAAGGCGACGAUCAGUAGCCGGACUGAGAGGUUGAACGGCCACAUUGGGACUGAGAUACGGCCCAGACUCCUACGGGAGGCAGCAGUGGGGAAUAUUGGGCAAUGGGCGCAAGCCUGACCCAGCAACGCCGCGUGAAGGAAGAAGGCUUUCGGGUUGUAAACUUCUUUUAAGAGGGAAGAGCAGAAGACGGUACCUCUAGAAUAAGCCACGGCUAACUACGUGCCAGCAGCCGCGGUAAUACGUAGGUGGCAAGCGUUGUCCGGAUUUACUGGGUGUAAAGGGCGUGCAGCCGGGUCUGCAAGUCAGAUGUGAAAUCCAUGGGCUCAACCCAUGAACUGCAUUUGAAACUGUAGAUCUUGAGUGUCGGAGGGGCAAUCGGAAUUCCUAGUGUAGCGGUGAAAUGCGUAGAUAUUAGGAGGAACACCAGUGGCGAAGGCGGAUUGCUGGACGAUAACUGACGGUGAGGCGCGAAAGUGUGGGGAGCAAACAGGAUUAGAUACCCUGGUAGUCCACACUGUAAACGAUGAAUACUAGGUGUGCGGGGACUGACCCCCUGCGUGCCGCAGUAAACACAAUAAGUAUUCCACCUGGGGAGUACGAUCGCAAGGUUGCAACU